rnacentral:rRNA from 1 species
GAUGAACGCUGGCGGCGUGCCUAAUACAUGCAAGUCGAGCGAACGGACGAGAAGCUUGCUUCUCUGAUGUUAGCGGCGGACGGGUGAGUAACACGUGGAUAACCUACCUAUAAGACUGGGAUAACUUCGGGAAACCGGAGCUAAUACCGGAUGAUAUUUUGAACCGCAUGGUUCAAAAGUGAAAGACGGUCUUGCUGUCACUUAUAGAUGGAUCCGCGCUGCAUUAGCUAGUUGGUAAGGUAACGGCUUACCAAGGCAACGAUGCAUAGCCGACCGGAGAGGGUGAUCGCCCACACUGGAGCUGAGACACGGUCCAGGCUCCUACGGGAGGCAGCAGUAGGGAAUCUUCCGCAAUGGGCGAAAGCCUUACGGAGCAACGCCGCGUGAGUGAUGAAGGUCUUCGGAUCGUAAAACUCUGUUAUUAGGGAAGAACAUAUGUGUAAGUAACUGUGCACAUCUUGACGGUACCUAAUCAGAAAGCCACGGCUAACUACGUG